AUUGAACGCUGGCGGCAUGCUUUACACAUGCAAGUCGAACGGGGUGAAGGGGCAACUCUUCAUUCAGUGGCGAACGGGUGAGUAAUGCAUCGGAACGUACCUCGUAGUGGGGGAUAACUCGGCGAAAGCCGUGCUAAUACCGCAUAUGCUCUACGGAGGAAAGCAGGGGACCUGAAAGGGCCUUGUGCUAUGGGAGCGGCCGAUGUCCGAUUAGCUAGUUGGUGGGGAAUGGCCUACCAAGGCGACGAUCGGUAGCUGGUCUGAGAGGAUGAUCAGCCACACUGGGACUGAGACACGGCCCAGACUCCUACGGGAGGCAGCAGUGGGGAAUUUUGGACAAUGGGGGCAACCCUGAUCCAGCCAUGCCGCGUGCGGGAAGAAGG
rnacentral:rRNA from 1 species